GUUUACUCAUCAAAUGCUCUGGUCUGAAUCUUACUUUAAAUUAACUUAAUUAUAUGUUUAAUGAGAAAUAUUGCUCAUUGCACACAGAGUAAGAUUAUCUUGUUUCACAGAAGAGAAGGAAGACCAAGGAAAUGAUUUGCUCAGGAUGAGAAAUGAAGAUGGUCAUCUUGUGCUCAAGCAAACAGAAGUCCUCUGAUGAUCUCAUCAACCAAAUGAGGGGUUUUGACCAAGUGAUGCUCUUGAAAGGAGUGAAAGAAGAGGAUGUGGUAAAUUGUCUUCAGAGAAAAAGCUUCUCAAAAGAUCUUAAAACAGCUUGAAGAAUGGUCUGGGAUCUUAGGACUGAGAGAUCUCACUGGCACCCAGUUAACCUCCAUAGAGAACAUUUAUCAAAAGCGCUGUCUGGGUAGGGCAAGAAACAUCAUCAAGGAUGCCUCUCACCCUAACCAUGGACUUUUCACCCUCCUUCCAUCCGGCAGGCGUUACAGGAGCCUACGCUCUCGAACUAGUACCUGCUCUUUUACUGCACUGGUCACAGUACUUUACAUACAUGUAUUGCACUACUCAUAUUUUGCACAG